rnacentral:lncRNA from 1 species
UUGCUUCCCUGUUGAAGUGAAGAUAUAAAUGUUCCAUUCUGACCCACCUUUGAAAAACAAUUACUUUGCCCCAUGGAUUCUUUGUUCAAUUAGAAAUUUCCCCGGGGCAGGUGACCCAUAGUCUUAAAGAACAGGCUAAACACCACAGAGAGAUUGGUUGCUUUUUGCUUUUCAUCACCUGCAAGAUGUACAUAAAAAUCACAUAAGCUGGAAUUCAACAAAAGCUGCCAGCUGGUUGUGGCUAAGGAGAGACAUACAUGGCAGAGAACUGAUGUCUCCAGACAACAUCCAGCAAGGACUGAAGUCUGCCAACAGUUACAUGAGUGAGCCUGGAAGUGGAUCCUUCCGUAGUUGAGCCUUGAGAUGACCACAGCCUAGGUAGACACAUUGAUUACAGUCUUUGCAGAAACUCUAAGCCAUGCCCAGUUUUCUGACCCAUAGAAACUGUGAGAUAAUAAAUGUUUGUUGUUUUAAACUGAAAAAUUAUGGGGAUAAUUUGCUGCACAGCAAUAGAUGAUAAAUAUAUUAUGUACAACAAG